rnacentral:rRNA from 1 species
UGGUGGAGUGAUUUGUCUGGUUGAUUCCGAUAACGAACGAGACCUCAGCCUACUAAAUAGUGGCGCUAACCAUUCAAAUGGGUGAAGCCCAGCAGGUUGUCUUGCCUCCAGGGGUGAGUCGCCUUCUGGGUGGAUCCUGAACGAGUUGGCGUAUCACUUCUUAGAGGGACUAAUGGCGACUAGUCAUUGGAAGUUUGAGGCAAUAACA